CGCUCGAGCGUCCGUUGUAAAAAAUGCCAGCGUGUAAUGCCGGGAACUCUAACGACACUGCCGGUGUAAACCGAGAGGAAGGUGGGGAUGACGUCAAAUCCUCGUGGCCUUUAUGUAGGGGGCUACACACGUGCUACGGAGCGUCACAGNGGCGCCCCGAGGGGGGAUACUCAAACCUCCGCUGUGGCUGGAAU
rnacentral:rRNA from 1 species